rnacentral:lncRNA from 1 species
AAAGAAAUUGCAGUUGGGGGCUGGGGAUUUAGCUCAGCGGCAAAAAGCGCCUGCCUGGCAAGCGCAAGGUCGUGAGUUCGGUUCCCGGUACCGGAGAAAAACCAAAAAAAAAACCAAAAAAAAAAAAAGAAAAGAAAAUUUAAAGACACAUUUUGAAAAUUUCUUUUUUUUUUUUGUCUUUUUGAGACAGGGUCUCGCUAUGCAGUUCAGGCUGACCUUCAGCUCACUUUGUAGCCCAGGCUGGCCUCGAACUUGCAAGGAUCCUCCUGCCUCAGCCUCCCGAGUGCUGGGUUUAUAGGCGUGCGCCACUAUGCCCAUCCAUUUUGAAAUUUUUUGCCCACUUUAAAAGAUUAUUUGUCCUUUUCUUGCUUCCAUGCCCUGAUUUACUGGUCACCCGUGUGAGAAUUUUGCCCUGGAGAGCUCCUCCCACCUGCGCUGUGAAGCAGGGAUCAAAGCAGCCCUGCUGUCUCUCCUGGGGGAUCUGAGAAUCAGCUUACCAGCUGGGCCCAUGGCGGGGACAGGAGAGACGCCGAAGGCUGAGUCCACAGUGGGAAGUGACAGUGCAGCCACUGGGCCCUGGGGAUGUGGCUCUCAUCGGGGCACUGUGAGACGGGCACCUCUGCGGGUCUGCCCAGUUCAGGCUGGUGACUGUGGAGCAAGGGAUUCUGGAGUUCAGAGCAGGGAGCGACUAAACCCUGCUCCUCAGGGGACUGUUCUCCUGCUCCCACUGCAGAAACACACAACCCAGUCGCCUCUUGUUCUACACAUGCUCCAACAGCUCAGGCCGUGGAAUGUGCUAUGUUAGACACAGAAACAAAUCAGAGAUUGGAUGCACUACAGGCGCGUAGCCCGCUUGUCCCCUCCCUUUAGACCUGUGUGCCAGGCCCAGCGCUCCUGCUCCCUCCCGCCCUGGACGCUCAGAGACCCGCUGCUGAGGCAGUGCCUUGCGAACACGGACCUGCGAAGCCUCAGGUUCAGGAAGCAGUUUAGUCAGUCGUAUAACUAAAACAGCUGCGAUGUGCUUGCUCUUCUGUGGCAAGUGCGUGUGAGUUAUUUUUUCCAGCCAAGUCACCCAGACUCAAUGUGGCCCCUAAUUUUCCAAAGGUUUCCAAAUUUCAGUUUUAGUAAUAAAAAUGGACUACGGUUCUCAGCUCCAUUAAUGCAGCUUUGCCCGUCUUUUUUAUAUACAUUUUUCAUCCCAUGCACAGUCUUCCUGGGCAGGUAUUUUCAUUCCUUUCCUGCAGGUACCGACAUUGAAGCUCACAUGUGUUUUUAGAUUUGUGCUAGGACAGGGCCGUGAGAGUGGGGCGUCAGGAUCUCAGGGAAGAACUGCCUGGCUGUGCAGCACAGACACACACUCACACACACACACACCCCUUCCUACUACACAGCUCACAUUGCUUUUAGGGCACAGUUUCAUUUCUUCAGGAAAAUAAAGAGGUUUUUACCUGCCAUGACUGGAUUCUCUCGAAGCCGGAGGAGAUAGAGCCCCAGCUUCACGCCUGCACCUUCCCCCAGGUCACCGUGAUGUGGCUGCCCCACUGCGUGCAGGGUUCCU